rnacentral:lncRNA from 1 species
GUUAGCUGGAAAUAGGACAUCAGAGAAGAACAUUCAACAUCAAAAGAAAAUGGACAAAUCCUACAAAUAGUCAUACAUUUGAAAAAAAAAUAUUUUUCUCAGCUUGUGGCAGAUCAGGCUACAGUGUAGAAGACAAUAGCUGUGUCAUAUGUUGAUCUGAGUAUGUGGCAUCCAAGGCUCCUUUUCAAGUCCUCCUUGAGCUGUCCUCAGGGGAGAGAGUGACUCUCUUGUCCCCUGAAGAGUCACUUCACCCAACAAGGGACAGGUGGCAUGCUGCCCAGCAAGGCACAAAGCACAGUGCGAAUGCCCACCUCAUCUCAGCUAACUUUGAAGGAGGCCUUCUCCAGAGAUGGAUCUUUUCAUAGCCACAAAGGGCCACACGGUGCAACCAGACUGGUCCCUGGACCAUGACUCAGGAGCUUUGGGUUCCAGUUGUGGAAGUCCUGUUAAUGCGUUCCGUGACCUUAAGCAAGUCAACAACUCACUAUGGGUCAGUUUUCACUCCAGCAAAGCAGAGAUAUCAACGUUCACUAAAUGUAACAGAGAGUUUAGAGAAUAAGGGACAUUGUAUUAAGCAGUCUGCUUAUAUAAGGUCACCUAUCAGAGCCAAAUUUGGAGAUCCACCUGCUGAGUACCAGAAGUUACGUGGUGGUUUGUGUCCUGCAUAAGGAGGAGGAGGGUGGAAAGAUGUCAUAAGUUGAUGGUUAACUUCUGUGUCGGCUUGACUAGUCUGAGGGAUAUCCAGAGAGCUAGUAAAGCAUGAUUUCUGGGUGUGUUUGUGAGGGUAUUCUGGGAGUGAUUGGAAUUUGACUCAGUAGACUAAGUAAGUAAGACCACCCUCACCAUUGUGGGUGGGCAGCAUCCAAUCUGUUGAGGUACCAGUUAGAAUCAAGACAGGGGAAGAGUGAUUUCAUUGCCUGAUUGGGCUGGACAUCCAUCUUCUUCUACUUUAGAUAUAGGUGCCUCUGUUUCUCAGGCCUUAGGACUUGGACUAGAUGACACCAGCAGCUUUCCUGGUUCCCUGGCUUGCAGAUGCAGAUCAUGGAACUUUCUGGCCUCUAUAAUCAUGUGAGACAAUUCCAAUAAUAUACUCCCUGUUUUAGACCUGCAUCCAUCUACCUACCUAUCAACUAUCUCCGUUUGUUGACCUCCCAGUUGGUUCUGUUUCCCUGGAGAACCCUAACAUUUACCUAACUGCAAGAGACUGAUGGCACAGGUGCCUAGAAUUUGGACUGACGGAGCUCAUUCUGACUGCUCAAUACAAUAGUGACUGAUUUAUUUCCUUGGAUUCCUUGACCAAAGAAAGUUAUCUGCUUGGUGUGGGUAACAUGUCCAGAUGCACCACAAGGAUUAUGCUACUCAAGGGCCUGUUUGUGCUCACAUGCAUCUCUUCUUCCUCUGCUCCAUACAGACAGAACUACAUUUCCAAGCAUCUGGGUAGGUUUGGCCAAUGAGAAUAAGUGAGAGAAUAGAGGGUGAGAGAAGGGAGACCCAGAGUAUUCGCCUGGUAGAUUUUUUUUUCUAAUUAGCUGCAUCUUUUUGUGUGUGUGGUAUCCCCCACAGAACUUUCAGACUCUGGCAACCACAUCUUCUUCCAUUGCUCCCCAAGUUCUAGGAGUAGUAUCUGCUUGCUUUGUCUCUAACCUGUCUCCCGUUUGCUUUCCAGCUCUUCCAUUCCUCUGUCAUAAAUUCCCUGAAUUAAAUCCCCUCAGUUUGAAAGACCUAGAAUGCUAUAGAGGGAACAGCUCAAUGCUACUAGAGGGAACAGCUCCUGUCAUCUCUUUGCACACAGCAGGGACCCAGUGAAUGCUUAUCCAAUGGACCAGGAGCAAGUGGCCUAGGUUGCAGUUUCU